rnacentral:sRNA from 1 species
CUGCUUCACGGCCAAGCCUCUGGCUCCAUGGAGAUGGCAAAGAAGAUAUCUGAGUUACAUAACAAGUUGGACUGUAGCUACAAUGAUCUCAAUGUCAAGGUGGAAACACUGAAUACCAAAGUCCGAUACUUAGAGGGACAUUCUGCAUCUUCCUCUGCUCCAAAACAAAUAAGCCAAUUUCCAGGAAAAGCAAUUCAGAACCCAAAAGAAUAUGCUCACGCUAUCACCCUGCGAUAGUGGAAAAACACUUCCAACUAGGGAGGAACCAAAGACAGUCACUACGGACAGUGAAGAUCAAGAUGGGGAAGAUUUAAGUCUCGGAAAGGAUCAAGCUGACAAACCACUCGACCAGUCACUCGACCAGUCACUCAAGAAACCACUCGACCUGUCACUCGAGCAACCACUCGAUCUGCCACUCGACAACGUUAAGGAGGUUGAGUUGCGGAUACCUCUUGUUGACGCUCUAGCGCUAAUCGCAGACUCUCACAAGUUUCUGAAAGACUUGAUCGUGGAGAGAAUUCAAGAAGUGCAAGGGAUGGUGGUAUUGAGUCAUGAAUGCAGUGCUAUCAUACAGAAGAAGAUCAUUCCUAAGAAACUUAGUGAUCCUGGUUCAUUCACUCUACCAUGCUCUUUAGGUCCAUUGGCUUUCAAUAGAUGCCUAUGCGAUUUAGGAGAAUCAGUCAGUCUCAUGCCGCUCUCUGUCGCCAAAAGAUUGGGGUUCACUCAAUACAAGUCCUGCAAUAUAUCCCUCAUCCUAGCUGACAGAUCAGUAAGAAUCCCUCAUGGUUUGCUCGAAAACUCUCAAUCAGGAUCGGUGCUGUGGAGAUACCAACUGACUUUGUAGUCCUGGAGAUGGAUGAAGAGCCCAAGGACCCUUUGAUUCUAGGGCGACCUUUCUUAGCCACUGCAGGAGCUAUGAUUGAUGUCAAGAAAUGGAAGAUUGAUCUAAACCUUGGCAAAGCCUUUAGGAUGACCUUUGAUGUUAAAGACGCGAUGAAGAAGCCUACCAUAAAAGGGCAACACUUUUGGAUCGAAGAAAUGGAUCAGUUAGCUGAUGAAUUACUGGAAGAGCUGGGAGAAGAAGAUCAUCUUAACAGUGCUUUAACCAAAAGUGGUGAAGAUGGGUUUCUGCAUUUGGAAACAUUGGGAUACCAGAAGCUGUUAGACUCCCAUAAAGCGAUGGAAGAAUCAGAACCCUUUGAGGAAUUGAAUGGACCAGCAACGAAGGUAAUGGUAAUGAGCGAAGAAGGGUCAACACGAGUUCAACCUGCACUCUCGAGGACAUACUCGACCAGCCACUCGACCUUGUCUGCCAACGAAUCUGAGGAGCCGAUCAUUCCAACUUCAGAUGACUUGUCUUAACUAAAAGCACCGAAGGUUGAUCUCAAACCACUUCCUAAAGGUCUAAGGGGAAUCAUGAGCAAUUACAGUGGCAGUUUUUCUGUUGAUCCUGACUACAACAUGGAUGAGACAGAGUCGUCAUCUUCAAGGCCAGAAAGAGAACAGAGAGAAUAUGAUAGCUUCAGAAGAAAGGCUGAUAUAGCUCGAGGGAAGAGAGCGAUGACAGAGAGGUAUGAGCUUAUAGAUGAGGAUCAGGAUGACGAGUACAUGCCUAAGCAUAGUCGCAGAGCCACCAAACUGCUAAACAAACCCGAUGUAUUGCCUGCUGAGGAAUAUAUUAGGUUCUUCAAGCUAAACGAGUUCUGUAGCACGAGGUAUCCUUGCUCAACCACACUUGCACAACUCAGAUUGCUGGAAGAUGUUCAGCACCUGUACCAGAGUUAUCAUCUGGACACUCUGAUGGCUUAUCCGUAUGUAGCAUAUGAAGAUGAGACAAUUCAAUUCCUCUCCACGCUGCAAGUGGAGCUCUACCAAGGUAUGACCUGUGAUGAGUUGGAUUGUGAAGGAUUGGGAUUCUUGCGAUUCUCUAUAUAUGGUCAUGAGUAUAGGUUAUCAAUCAAGCAAUUGGAAGGAUUGUUUGGCUUCCCCAGUGGAACGGGAACUAAGCCCAAGUAUGACAGAGAAGAGUUGAAAGACUUGUGGAUCACCAUUGGCAGCUCUGUACCGCUGAAUUCUUCCAGGUCAAAGAGCAAUCAGAUACGCAGCCCUAUCAUCAGGUACUUCCAGCGUUCUAAAUGUGCUUUACUCGGAGAGAUCACAGGGACUGUUACUAAUUCUGAUAUGGAGAUGAUCGCAAUGGCUCUCAAGGGAACUCUUCGCCAAACUAAGAAUGGCAUGUCUCUCCAAGGUGAAAUCAAUGACACACCUCUCUCUGUACUUCUUCUGAUCCAUCUGUGUGGAUACAAGAGCAUGGCCGUCAGCAAUAACCACAAGAGAGCAUGAGGCGCUCUGUGCAUAGGAGGUGUUGUGACACCGAUUCUGAUCGCUUUUGGAGUCCCGAUCACUUCUGAUGGUAUCGAGCCGCGAGCAAUGGAUAUCGAGCAUCUAGGUCACUGCGAAUUCUUGGAGUUUGCAAUGGUUGACGACUUGCACAGGUUCAGGUUUGAGCAUUCUACAGACAAGAGAGCUAGCAUCCUUCUCCCCAGCCUUGAGGUUACACGGAUAAUCGAGGGAGAUAACAUUGAUUUUUGGCCUGAGGUUGGACGCCUCUACUAUGAGAACGCUCCGCCAUUGGAUGAGGAUGAUCUUCUAGAAGAAGCUGCUUCGGAUGGGAUGGAUGAAGACAGAGGAGUGGAGUUCGACACUAGCAUGUAUCACUUUGGUGAACAUGUACCUCCAGCGAGGGAGAGCAAGAGCUUGACUGACUGCAGAAGUGGUGCAAGAAGCAGGACAAACUGCUCGCCAAGUGUUUCAAGACUAUCAAGCUUCUAACAGAUAAGCUGAGUUGUUCCUCCUCCACCACUGCUAUUCCACAGGGACAGCCUCCUCUGGAGAUGCCAUCGAGGAGAUUUGAUGAGCCUGAGCUCAGGCCUGAGCUUAGCGAGCAGAGAGUCUCACAUGUCCCGGCUAGGCAUUCGUCAUUCCCAGGAGCACAAGAGAAGAAGGAAGGCUACACUCACACAAUCUAGCAGCAGAUCACGCCUCAUUCACUCGAGAAGGUCACUCGACCGCGAUAGAAGGAGAGAGGUCGAGUAUCCUCAGAGCGGUGCUGGCCGCCAUAGAGCUGAUGGGGUCGAGUACCCACCUGCUGGAGCUGAUACGGAACAAGGGGGUUCGUCUAUAGCCUGGUAGCAAUCAGAGGCUGCUAUUGACGAGCAACUACGUUCAUUCUUCGACUGAGGUAAGCGCCUCACUUCACCAUUGUAUUAUAUCAUCUGUUGUGAUUUGUUUCUUCAUUUUGUUUCUGUGAUUGGAUUUGUCCUGAGUACUCUCUUCCAAGUUUAUUCGCACAGUGGACUGUGUGAUUUAAGUUUGGGGGAGGGCUCAGGAAGUGUGUGUUGCAUUGUGUAUAUUUUUGAGUCUACAUUCAUCUAAGGCAUAGAAAAACAAAAAAA